AAAAAAAAAAAAAAAAAAAAAAAAAAAAGGUAUAGUGAGAAAAGGCUGGAGGGCUUGUUAUGGGGUUAGCGUGAGAGAAAGUACAAUUUUGUCCACCCUUCUUUACCAGUCAAACCAGUAACUCUGGAUAGAGCACAGUCGAGCAGUUUUUACCCUUGUGGUCCCUGAUGGCUUCGCACAGUGAUACUCUGGUGGUGUUCUUUGGGGCAACAGCUGGUGCAAAUGGGGGUAAACUGGGGUCGGAUGAGAGGGAAAUAAUUCUGUUGGUGUGGCAAAUUGUGGAUCUACAUGAGAAAAAGGUGGGGAAACUUCAGCAGCGCCUGGUUAAACCAGACACUUUGGAUUUAACAGAUCAGUGUAAACAGGAGACAGGAUUGAGUGUGGAAGAACUUUGUAAAGCAGAGCCUCUGGACACGGUUCUCCAACAGUUCCAGCAGGCUGUAUCAGCAGAACUCAAAGCUCUGGGCAGAAGCUCCUACACGCUGUGUGUGGACGGACCCCUCCUCAUCAGACAGGCCCUUCACCCCGAGGCUUCCAAAAAGAAUUUGGUCCUGCCAGAGUGUUUUUACUCAUUUGUGGAUUUAAAAAGAGAGUUUCACAAAUGCUGUCCCAACGCCGGUCCAGUGAAAGACCUCACCCUUCCCUCAAUGCUCGAAUAUGUGUGUCUCCCAGCAGUAAGCGAGAAGAGAGCUGGAGUGAGGGAGGUGAAGAGCAUGGUGAUGAUCAUCCAACACAUCCUGGCUGAGCCAUACAGUCACAAAUUUUCCUCGUUCGAGACAGUGAAGUACAAGUUUGAAUCUGGAGCUUGCAGUAAGACAGAAGCUGUGGACAGUGAGACGGUGAUCAGAGCCAGGGGGUUGCCAUGGCAAUCUUCAGACCAGGACAUCGCUCGCUUCUUCAAGGGCCUCAACAUUGCCAAAGGUGGUGUGGCACUGUGUUUGAAUGCUCAGGGUCGCAGGAAUGGAGAGGCUCUGGUGCGCUUUGUAAACUCCGAACACAGAGACAUGGCACUGGAACGACACAAACACCACAUGGGCAGCAGAUACAUUGAGGUGUAUAAAGCAACUGGAGAGGAGUUCCUAAAGAUUGCUGGAGGCACAUCUAACGAGGUGGCACAGUUCCUGUCUAAGGAGAAUCAGGUGAUCAUCCGCAUGCGAGGCCUGCCCUUCACUGCCACACAUCAGGAUGUGCUGGGCUUCCUGGGCCCCGAGAGCCCUGUGACGGAUGGCACAGAGGGGCUGCUCUUUGUUAAAUAUCCUGAUGGAAGGCCCACGGGGGAUGCCUUUGUGCUGUUUGCCUGUGAGGAAUACGCCCAGAACGCUCUGAAAAAGCAUAAACAGAUUCUGGGGAAGAGAUACAUCGAGCUGUUCCGCAGUACAGCAGCUGAGGUCCAGCAGGUGCUGAACCGCUACAUGUCCACUCCACUGAUAUCCACACUUCCUCCUCCUCCUCCCAUGGUUCCUGUUCCUGUGCUGGCUGCUCCUCCCUUCAUCACCGCAGGCAGCACCAGAGACUGUGUGCGGCUGCGUGGUUUGCCAUACACUGCUGCCAUCGAGGACAUCCUGGAGUUUAUGGGAGAGCACACCAUAGACAUUAAACCCCACGGCGUUCAUAUGGUGCUCAAUCAGCAGGGUCGUCCAUCCGGUGAUGCUUUCAUUCAGAUGAAAUCAGCCGAUCGUGCCUUUAUGGUAGCACAGAAGUGCCAUAAGAAGAUGAUGAAGGAUCGUUAUGUGGAGGUGUUCCAGUGCUCCACUGAAGAGAUGAGCUUUGUGCUGAUGGGAGGGACUCUGAACCGUAGUGGCUUGUCUCCUCCGCCAUGCAAGCUGCCCUGCCUCUCACCACCAACCUACGCUGCAUUUCCAGCUCCAGCUGCUAUGCUUUCCACUGAGGCAGCCCUGUAUCAGCCCCCCCUGCUGGCCACUCCAAGAACUCCACAGCCACCCACACACAGCCCUGCCCCAGCCCUCGCUUACUAUUCCCCUCAACCACAGCUGUAUAUGAACAUGAACAUGAACUACACCGCCUAUUACCCCAGUCCUCCAGUGUCGCCAUCCACAGUGAGUUAUUUUGCAGCUCCUCCAGGCUCGAUAGCAGCUCAGCCUACUCCUGCUAUUCUGCCUCAGCACGGCGCUCUGGUGCGCAUGCAGGGACUGCCUUAUAACGCCGGGGUUAAAGACAUCCUCAGCUUCUUCCAGGGUUACCAGUAGGCGGAGUCUUCAACUGAUGGUAUGAACUUCAGCCCUAAGGAGCGGGGUGAACAGGGGGUUGAUUGAGGGGGAAAUAACUGGCUGGUGCUUUAUAUUGGGGUUGUGGUGUUUUGUGUGCAUUUUCAUCCUGGUAAUGUAGCAGGGUGAAAUAAAUGGAACUGAUGUGCCACAUUAGUUUCAUUCCCCAGACCUUAGCUAAAAGGUGAGGGUGUGUUUAGAGCUAGCGCACACUGUGGAACAAACUGCUCUCUGCUUGGGUCUCAGCUAUCCGAGAGCCAGAGAUCACGAUUGAAUUCAGCUUUCACAACUGGCUGAACCACUGAAAUGAAACGCUGCCCACUCACCCUCCAAGUGUGUGCUUUUAGCUGCUCGGAUGGAGCUCACACUUUGUGAUUGUGUGGGUGUGUGUGUCUUUGGGAAGAAUGUUUCCUCUGGGUGGGAUUUUUGUACUUUUACUUUUCUCUCCAUACUUUGUGUGUGUGAUGCAGUUGGAAGUGGAAGUUGAGUUUUUGUGUUUGGGUGUGCAUGUGUUUCUAGAUUUAGUUGUUUUGCUGUGCUUCUGUGGAAAAUCUCUGACUAGAGAUCAUCUUUUUUUUUUCAGGAUUUAUUUCAAGAAGUGUGACUUUUUUCUGCUUUUUUUGGUCUGCAAGGCGGCCACCAAUUCUGGCAUUGUAACUACUUGAACACGUAUUAAAACAAUCUUUACGUAUUAAAACGAUUUUGGGUAUCUUGAAUGAUAGGUGUGCCUUGGGACUAGGGUCAGCACAAAAAAGUAGAGGGUGCAAAGCAUUUUUUCUGGAACAGGAAGAAUGUGCAGAGCCAUAAUAAUAAGCAUCUUAUUUAAAAAAAAAAAAUUCCCAUAGAGAAAAAUAACGGCCUCUCUUGUAUCAGCUCUCGCUGUUCCUAUUCAAAUUAAUUGUGUUUUCCCCAGGCAAAUUUUAUGUGCAUUGGAUCUGAAGUUUCUUCUAGACAAAUGCAUAGUCUAAAUGUUGCAAUUAAUCUUUUUGUGAAUGGGAUUUUUUUCUCUCUCUCUCUUUUUUAAACAGUGUUUAAGUUUCAUUUUAUAUUUUGGGGAGCUGGUCAAACUAAGUUCAUUAGUAAAUACUGUAGAUGGAUGCAACCAGAAAUAACUGCAGGAGUGGGCAGAUGCAGGAUUAAGAGUCCCGCACGAUUGUAUUAACUGAUUGGCCAUGAUUCAGUGGUGUGUGAUAAGUGUGUGUGUGUGUGUGAUAAGUGUGUGUGUUUGUGUGUGUGAUGAGGCUGUGCCACUGACUAUGGGCUGUUGUGCUGUAGUACGCUCCUGAGGAUUACAGCAGUGUGGUGGGAAUGAGCGAUCAGGCCCGUGCUCUGGUCCAGCCCAAAGAGUGGCUCUGCCUGUAGGGGGCGCUCCUCCAGCUUCAGGCGGAUUCUGUGCUCGUCUUGUAUAAUCUGAGUGGCCAGCG